ACUAAGCGUACACGGUGGAUGCCCUGGCAGUCAGAGGCGAUGAAGGACGUGCUAAUCUGCGAAAAGCGUCGGUAAGGUGAUAUGAACCGUUACAGCCGGCGAUGUCCGAAUGGGGAAACCCAGUGCAAUUCGUUGCACUAUCGUUAACUGAAUACAUAGGUUAACGAGGCGAACCGGGGGAACUGAAACAUCUAAGUACCCCGAGGAAAAGAAAUCAACCGAGAUUCCCCCAGUAGCGGCGAGCGAACGGGGAGCAGCCCGGAGUCUGAAUCAGCUUGUGUGUUAGUGGAAGCGUCUGGAAAGUCGCAGGGUACAGGGUGAUACUCCCGUACACUAAAACACACAGGCUGUGAACUCGAAGAGUAGGGCGGGACACGUGGUAUCCUGUCUGAAUAUGGGGGGACCAUCCUCCAAGGCUAAAUACUCCUGACUGACCGAUAGUGAACCAGUACCGUGAGGGAAAGGCGAAAAGAACCCCGGCGAGGGGAGUGAAAAAGAACCUGAAACCGUGUACGUACAAGCAGUAGGAGCCCACUAGUUGGGUGACUGCGUACCUUUUGUAUAAUGGGUCAGCGACUUAUAUUCUGUAGCAAGGUUAACCGAAUAGGGGAGCCGCAGGGAAACCGAGUCUUAACUGGGCGUUAAGUUGCAGGGUAUAGACCCGAAACCCGGUGAUCUAGCCAUGGGCAGGUUGAAGGUUGGGUAACACUAACUGGAGGACCGAACCGACUAAUGUUGAAAAAUUAGCGGAUGACUUGUGGCUGGGGGUGAAAGGCCAAUCAAACCGGGAGAUAGCUGGUUCUCCCCGAAAGCUAUUUAGGUAGCGCCUCGUGAACUCAUCUUCGGGGGUAGAGCACUGUUUCGGCUAGGGGGUCAUCCCGACUUACCAACCCGAUGCAAACUACGAAUACCGAAGAAUGUUAUCACGGGAGACACACGGCGGGUGCUAACGUCCGUCGUGAAGAGGGAAACAACCCAGACCGCCAGCUAAGGUCCCAAAGUCAUGGUUAAGUGGGAAACGAUGUGGGAAGGCCCAGACAGCCAGGAUGUUGGCUUAGAAGCAGCCAUCAUUUAAAGAAAGCGUAAUAGCUCACUGGUCGAGUCGGCCUGCGCGGAAGAUGUAACGGGGCUAAACCAUGCACCGAAGCUGCGGCAGCGACACUAUGUGUUGUUGGGUAGGGGAGCGUUCUGUAAGCUGUUGAAGGUGGCCUGUGAGGGUUGCUGGAGGUAUCAGAAGUGCGAAUGCUGACAUAAGUAACGAUAAUGCGGGUGAAAAACCCGCACGCCGGAAGACCAAGGGUUCCUGUCCAACGUUAAUCGGGGCAGGGUGAGUCGACCCCUAAGGCGAGGCCGAAAGGCGUAGUCGAUGGGAAACAGGUUAAUAUUCCUGUACUUGGUGUUACUGCGAAGGGGGGACGGAGAAGGCUAUGUUGGCCGGGCGACGGUUGUCCCGGUUUAAGCAUGUAGGCGGAUGUUCCAGGUAAAUCCGGAACGUCACUAACGCUGAGGUGUGAUGACGAGGCACUACGGUGCUGAAGUGACAAAUGCCCUGCUUCCAGGAAAAGCCUCUAAGCAUCAGGUAACAUCAAAUCGUACCCCAAACCGACACAGGUGGUCAGGUAGAGAAUACCAAGGCGCUUGAGAGAACUCGGGUGAAGGAACUAGGCAAAAUGGUGCCGUAACUUCGGGAGAAGGCACGCUGAUGGUAAGUGAAGUGACUUGCUCAUGGAGCUGAAAUCAGUCGAAGAUACCAGCUGGCUGCAACUGUUUAUUAAAAACACAGCACUGUGCAAACACGAAAGUGGACGUAUACGGUGUGACGCCUGCCCGGUGCCGGAAGGUUAAUUGAUGGGGUUAUCCUCGCGGAGAAGCUCUUGAUCGAAGCCCCGGUAAACGGCGGCCGUAACUAUAACGGUCCUAAGGUAGCGAAAUUCCUUGUCGGGUAAGUUCCGACCUGCACGAAUGGCGUAAUGAUGGCCAGGCUGUCUCCACCCGAGACUCAGUGAAAUUGAACUCGCUGUGAAGAUGCAGUGUACCCGCGGCAAGACGGAAAGACCCCGUGAACCUUUACUAUAGCUUGACACUGAACACUGGUCCUUGAUGUGUAGGAUAGGUGGGAGGCUUUGAAGUGUGGACGCCAGUCUGCAUGGAGCCAUCCUUGAAAUACCACCCUUUAAUGGCUGGUGUUCUAACGUGGGCCCGUGAUCCGGGUUGCGGACAGUGUCUGGUGGGUAGUUUGACUGGGGCGGUCUCCUCCUAAAGAGUAACGGAGGAGCACGAAGGUCAGCUAAUCCUGGUCGGACAUCAGGAGGUUAGUGCAAUGGCAUAAGCUGGCUUGACUGCGAGCGUGACGGCGCGAGCAGGUGCGAAAGCAGGUCAUAGUGAUCCGGUGGUUCUGAAUGGAAGGGCCAUCGCUCAACGGAUAAAAGGUACUCCGGGGAUAACAGGCUGAUACCGCCCAAGAGUUCAUAUCGACGGCGGUGUUUGGCACCUCGAUGUCGGCUCAUCACAUCCUGGGGCUGAAGUAGGUCCCAAGGGUAUGGCUGUUCGCCAUUUAAAGUGGUACGCGAGCUGGGUUUAGAACGUCGUGAGACAGUUCGGUCCCUAUCUGCCGUGGGCGCUGGAGAAUUGAGGGGGGCUGCUCCUAGUACGAGAGGACCGGAGUGGACGCAUCACUGGUGUUCGGGUUGUCAUGCCAAUGGCAUUGCCCGGUAGCUAAAUGCGGAAGAGAUAAGUGCUGAAAGCAUCUAAGCACGAAACUUGCCCCGAGAUGAGUUCUCCCUGACUCCUUGAGAGUCCUGAAGGAACGUUGAAGACGACGACGUUGAUAGGCCGGGUGUGUAAGCGCAGCGAUGCGUUGAGCUAACCGGUACUAAUGAACCGUGAGGCUUAACC
rnacentral:rRNA from 1 species